AGGGAUUCAGCUAGGAGGAGAAGUGGAAAGAGGAAAGGUUGAGAGAGCUGUGAAGAGGUUGAUUGUGGAUAAAGAAGGUGCAAACAUGAGGAGAAGAGCCCUUGAUUUAAAAGAGAUGAUCAAAGCCUCCGUAAGAAUUGGAGGCUCCUCGUACAACGCAUUCGAUGAGCUCGUCAAGUACUUGAAGGUAGGGAGUGAAGAAGCUGAACCUCAUGUAUAAUUAGAGAUCACUAAAACGUCUAUUUUGAGCUAGAUAUACACAAAAAUUCAGUUUCAACAAAAGCGAUAAUAAACAGAAAUGUAAUAUUUAUCAUGCUUUAUGAAAGACAUAUAUCAUUACCCCAG
rnacentral:lncRNA from 1 species